UACGGAGGGUGCAAGCGUUAAUCGGAAUUACUGGGCGUAAAGCGUGCGCAGGCGGUUUGUUAAGUCUGCUGUGAAAUCCCCGAGCUCAACUUGGGAAUUGCAGUGGAUACUGGCAAGCUGGAGUUCGGCAGGGGAGACUGGAAUUCCCGGUGUAGCGGUGAAAUUCGUAGAUAUCGGGAGGAACACCAGUGGCGAAGGCGGCGAUCUGGGAAGAUACUGACGCUGAGGCGCGACAGCGUGGGGAUCAAACAGG
rnacentral:rRNA from 1 species